GACAGAGGCCUCAAGCGUUAGGCGGAAUCACUGGGCUUAAAGCGUGUGUAGGCGGGUCGUUAAGUACCUUGUGAAAUCCCACGGCUCACCCGUGGAACGGCUGGGUAUACUGGCGAUCUUGGGCCAACUAGGGGCGACUGGAACAAGCGGUGGAGCGGUGAAAUGCGUAGAUAUCGACUUGGACGCCGAAGGUGAAAACAGGUCGCUGGGGUUGUGCC
rnacentral:rRNA from 1 species